AAGAUUGUUCUUCAAUUAAUAUUUCCACAUUUUAGAUCUUUGAUUGUGCUAAGAUUUCUCAUGAACAUCUACAUUUCUAUAAUUAAUGUAUAAUUAAUGAUAACAUGAAUAAUAACAACAUGUUAUUUUUAGGUGACUCGUUAACCGUGGCGCAAAGGAUGUGAAAUUAAAUACAUUCGUCUCGAUAAAGAUAUUACAUUACACGUGGAUGGUGAACAUGAAGCGUUUAUAAGAGGUUAUAUGCGAAUUAUUAAAAUGUAAAGGAUAGAAAAAACAGCGAUUCGAUUGAUUCCGUGACUACUUUAUUAGAAAAUGUAAAACAGAAUAAUUCAGGUACAAAGAGAGGAAACAAUAAGAAAUAGAUGAUUCGACAUUCUGAAAAUUAUCCAUUAUCGAAACAUUGAUGUCGAAUUGUUUCUAAGCGUCAUGGUAUCUGCAAUAGGCGGUAUCUUCUAUCAACUCCUGAGGAAUCAAUUCCUCUGCUGGAGAUUGAUGCGACAUGGUUACAGCGUGAUUUUCCACUUCCUUCAAUACUCUCAAUAAAUUUCCACCCACCAAUUUCU